CUGGAAUCCACGCCCUCAGGUGCCAGUGCCAGCACAGCACUGGGAAUCACAUCUGCUGCCCUGCUCUACUCCACAGGCCAUGGGGGAGCCCUGAUUCUGGAUCUGACCUCCUUUGUAAUAGGAUUUGCAGACACCUAUUGACGGAAGCCUUGUGGGAUACAGUUUCAGAGAGAGGUCACGCAUCUCUACAGCACAUGAAAUGGAUUCUCGUCUCUCCAAUUCAGCAGUGAGGUUAUGAAAAUCCGGAUCUAAUCUCAUUUGUAAACAAUGCAUGUAAUAGAAAUUACACAUCCUCUUCCAAAAGGAAAAUAAUAUAUUCAAUUGUUUGAAAA